GGCCUUAUAGUGUAGUGGUUUAUCACCCUCGGUUUUGAUCCGAAAUAUCCGGGUGACCCAGGUUCGAACCCUGGUAAGGCCU
rnacentral:tRNA from 1 species